rnacentral:lncRNA from 1 species
UACCAAGGGGGAUGCCCAAUCCCAUCAAAAUCAGUUGUGCUAAAAAACCUCAAGAAAUGGAGUUGCGCUAAACAAACUACUAGAUGGGGAUGCCCUACUACACUAAAGGAAGUGGGAGUCUGCUAAGUAAUCCCUAGGAAAGGGUAUGCCCUAACAAAAUUGAAGGAAGUUGGUUGGUCUAAACAAACUCUAGGAAAGGGAAUGAAUUAAAAAUCUCCAUGAAGAUGGAUGACCUAAGAAACUGAAGGAAGGGUGAUGGACC